UCCAUAGUUUACUAUUCUCAUAUUCUCCCCUUCAGCCCUGCCCACUUCCUUAUGAGUGACAACAGGGUGAGUCACUGUUCUGCGGAAGCUGCUAAUCUGUUAUUCAUAUUUGGUGCUGUGCGUGAGCAGCGAUUGAGCCGAUUGAAAAAAGGAUUACGUGACAGCUCACCUUUCACCUGCUGGAAACAACCUCCAUGACUGCAGCACUCAUAUAUGGACUGACUGAGCUAAAGGGGCUGUCCUCACAGGAGGCUGAGCAGGAGUAUCUCUCUGGUCCAAUUUAUGAUCAAAGUGAAGUGGAAGACUUCAUACAGAAGCUUGCAAGGAGAAGGAAGAUCGAGG